GGGACAAGCCCCACAUGCCUCUGAUUUUUCACGUGCAUACAGCUCUGCUGUUCAACUGUGGUGAACCCGGCUAACCCCUCACCACUACCAGACGGUCAUGCCUGCACCACGGCUCUCAGUAGCCAGAUUACACUGAUCGAGGUGAUCCCUCUAAACUUGGCACUAAAUUCAUACACUCAGACAAUUUUACCACAUGACAGGAGGCUUCCUAUUUUGCAUAUAACUCUCUUUACUAACUCCACAUAGCAGUAAAGAAAAGUGAAAACAAUAACCAAU